AAUAUGCUGGUGUGAGAAAUGUU
rnacentral:siRNA from 1 species